CCUACGGGUGGCAGCAGUGGGGAAUAUUGCGCAAUGGGCGAAAGCCUGACGCAGCGACGCCGCGUGAGGGAUGAAGGUCUUCGGAUCGUAAACCUCUGUCAGCAGGGAAGAACGGUCACUGUGCUAAUCAGCAGUGAAUUGACGGUACCUGCAAAGGAAGCACCGGCUAACUCCGUGCCAGCAGCCGCGGUAAUACGGAGGGUGCGAGCGUUAAUCGGAAUUACUGGGCGUAAAGCGCUCGUAGGCGGGAUGUCAAGUCAAGGGGGAAAUCCCCGCGCUCAACGUGGUAACUGCCUUUGAAACUGGCAAACUGGAGUGUGUGAGAGGAUAGUGGAAUGCCAGGUGUAGGAGUGAAAUCCGUAGAUAUCUGGAGGAACAUCAGUGGCGAAGGCGACUAUCUGGCACAUAACUGACGCUGAGGAGCGAAAGCGUGGGGAGCAAACAGGAUUAGAUACCCCAGUAGUC
rnacentral:rRNA from 1 species